AUUGACCGCUGGCGGCAGGCCUAACACAUGCAAGUCGAACGAGUGGCGGACGGGUGAGUACUGUCUGGGAAACUGCCCGCUGGAGGGGGAUAACUACUGGAAACGGUAGCUAAUCCCGCCUACCAUCGGAUGUGCCCAGAUGGGAUUAGCUAGUAGGUGGGGUAAAGGCUCACCUAGGCGACGAUCCCUAGCUGGUCUGUGAGGAGGACCAGCCACACGGGAACUGAGACACGUUCCAGACUCCUACGGGAGGCAUCAUUGGGGAAUAUUGCACAAUGGGCGCAAGCCGUAUGCAGCCAUCCCGCGGGUAUGAAGAAGGCCUUCGGGUUGUAAAGUACUUUCAGCGAGGAGGCGUUACUCGCAGAAGAAGCACCGGCUAACUCCGUGCCAGCAGCCGCGGUAAUAC
rnacentral:rRNA from 1 species